GACGAACGCUGGCGGCGUGCUUAACACAUGCAAGUCGAACGGAAAGGCCCUGCUUUUGUGGGGUGCUCGAGUGGCGAACGGGUGAGUAACACGUGAGUAACCUGCCCUUGACUUUGGGAUAACUUCAGGAAACUGGGGCUAAUACCGGAUAGGAGCUCCUGCUGCAUGGUGGGGGUUGGAAAGUUUCGGCGGUUGGGGAUGGACUCGCGGCUUAUCAGCUUGUUGGUGGGGUAGUGGCUUACCAAGGCUUUGACGGGUAGCAGGCCUGAGAGGGUGACCGGCCACAUUGGGACUGAGAUACGGCACAGACUCCAACGGGAGGCAGCAGUGGGGAAUAUUGCACAAUGGGAGGAAGCCUGAUGCAGCAACGCCGCGUGCGGGAUGACGGCCUUCGGGUUGUAAACCGCUUUCGCCUGUGACGAAGCGUGAGUGACGGUAAUGGGUAAAGAAGCACCGGCUAACUACGUG
rnacentral:rRNA from 1 species